GACGAACGCUGGCGGCGUGCUUAACACAUGCAAGUCGAACGGACAGGCCCUGCUUUUGUUUGGUGCUCGAUUGGCGAACGCGUGAGUAACACGUGAGUAUCCUGCCCCUGUCUUUGUGAUAUCUUCACGAGACUGCGGCUCUUAUCGCGUAUAAUCUCCUGCUCCAUGGUGUUGGUUGGAGAGUUUCGGCGGUUGGGGAUGGACUCGCGGCUUCUCAGCUGGUUGGGCGGGUAGUGGCUUACCAAGGCUAUGACGGGUAGCCGGCCUGAGAGGGUGACCGGGCACAUGGGGACUGAGAUACGGCCCAGACUCCUACGGGAGGCAGCAGUGGGGAAUAUGGCACAAUGGGCGGAAGCCUGAUGCAGCAGCGCCGCGUGCGGGAUGACGGCCUUCGGGUGGUAAACCGCUUUGGCCGGAGACGAAGCGUGAGUGACGGUAAUGGGUAAAGAAGCACCGGCUAACUACGUG
rnacentral:rRNA from 1 species